CAAAUGAUAUUCUUCGUGAAUGUGAACCAUUAAAUAAAUCUUUGCAGCUCAAGUACUAGCAAACCACAUCACACUUGAGCUAAAAUUAAAAGUCGGUCCAAAUUAUACUUUGGUUUUCCUCUCUCUCAACAUAUCAGCCGUUCUUCACUGGGGUCCAUGAGAUAACACAAUCUCCACAUUGGUAUGAUAUUGUCCACUUUGGACCAAAUCCAAAUGAAUUUGCUCUUGAUUUUUUCCAAAAUGCCUCAUACCAAUAGAGUUGCUGUCCAAUCUUUAUAAACUCAUGACCUUUCUCAUAUUAAGACCACAAAUGAUGGACCACAAAGGACCAUCGAACCUCCCCUGGGCUCACCAUCUUUGUUCGACACCGAGCCUCGAAUAAAGGAACACCCAGUCACACGCCAUUUGCGCACCAGGAGCUCACCAUCCUUGUUUGGCACCAAUGAUUUUCGAUAAUUUUCACCAUACGGUUAAAGUCUUGGCCAUGACUCUGAUUCAUAGUGACGAAGAUUCAGGUUUGAAUCACCUGCAAUCCUUAAGUCCUCGUCCGGGUUCCACUUUGGUCAACCUACACUUGUAUUCAAGAAUCAAUCCACACGAUGUAGCUCGCUUGAAAACACACAAAUCCUAAAUUCCUCAAACCUGAAACAAUAAUCUCAAAAUUACGUGUUUCCCUUAUAUUGAAAUCUGCAUUAAUACAUUGAA
rnacentral:lncRNA from 1 species